rnacentral:rRNA from 1 species
UACGGAGGGAGCUAGCGUUGUUCGGAAUUAUUGGGCGUAAAGCGCGCGUAGGCGGCUUUGUAAGUCAGAGGUGAAAGCCCGGAGCUCAACUCCGGAACUGCCUUUAAAACUGCAUCGCUUGAAUCCAGGAGAGGUGAGUGGAAUUCCGAGUGUAGAGGUGAAAUUCGUAGAUAUUCGGAAGAACACCAGUGGCGAAGGCGGCUCACUGGACUGGUAUUGACGCUGAGGUGCGAAAGCGUGGGGAGCAAACAGG